rnacentral:rRNA from 1 species
GCGAACGCUGGCGGCAGGCCUAAUACAUGCAAGUCGAGCGGUCCCUUCGGGGGCAGCGGCGGACGGGUGAGUAACGCGUGGGAACGUGCCCUUUGGUACGGAACAACUGAGGGAAACUUCAGCUAAUACCGUAUGUGCCCUUCGGGGGAAAGAUUUAUCGCCAUUGGAGCGGCCCGCGUUAGAUUAGCUAGUUGGUAGGGUAAAGGCCUACCAAGGCGACGAUCUAUAGCUGGUCUGAGAGGAUGAUCAGCCACACUGGGACUGAGACACGGCCCAGACUCCUACGGGAGGCAGCAGUAGGGAAUCUUGCGCAAUGGGCGAAAGCCUGACGCAGCCAUGCCGCGUGAAUGAUGAAGGUCUUAGGAUUGUAAAAUUCUUUCACCGGGGACGAUAAUGACGGUACCCGGAGAAGAAGCCCCGGCUAACUUCGUGCCAGCAGCCGCGGUAAAAC